GGAUUGCAGGCUGCAACUCGCCUGCAUGAAGCUGGAAUUGCUAGUAAUCGCGGAUCAGCAAGCCGCCGGUGAAUACGUUCCCGGGCCUUGUANACACCGCCCGUCACACCAUGAGAGUCGGGAACACCCGAAGUCCGUAGUCUAACCGCAAGGGGGCGCGGCCGAAGGUGGGUCCGGUAAUUGGGGUGAAGUCGUAACAAGGUAGC
rnacentral:rRNA from 1 species